UACAGAGGGUGCGAGCGUUAAUCGGAAUUACUGGGCGUAAAGCGUGCGCAGACGGUCAUGUAAGUCGGGUGUGAAAGCCCCGGGCUCAACCUGGGAAUUGCAUUCGAGACUGCGUAGCUAGGGUGCGGAAGAGGGAAGCGGAAUUCCGGUGUAGCGGUGAAAUGCGUAGAUAUCGGAAGGAACACCAGUGGCGAAAGCGGCUUCCUGGUCCAGCACCGACGUUCAGGCACGAAAGCGUGGGGAGCAAACAGG
rnacentral:rRNA from 1 species